rnacentral:sRNA from 1 species
GCUACUGGUAGCGACUACCUCCAGGGAUUCUGCAGAUACACUGCGUCUAGAGUUGGAUGGUGGGCGUGUCAAGCUCAUGGUUAACUUAGGGACCUCUAAUGGAUAUCCAUUAGAACCUCACAGCCUCACGUUCUUCCCUGCUAUUGACUCUCUUUACUGGAUUCUAAAUAUUUUCUCUGGAGAAUCGGAACCUCCUAGCUUUGAAAGAAAACAAACACUCGUGUCUCUACUCUUUUCACUUAACGGAAAGCCAAAUGCUCAGCGAUGUCA